CGAAUGCUGACAUAAGUAACGAUAAAGCGGGUGAAAAGCCCGCUCGCCGGAAGACCAAGGGUUCCUGUCCAACGUUAAUCGGGGCAGGGUGAGUCGACCCCUAAGGCGAGGCCGAAAGGCGUAGUCGAUGGGAAACAGGUUAAUAUUCCUGUACUUGGUGUUACUGCGAAGGGGGGACGGAGAAGGCUAUGUUGGCCGGGCGACGGUUGUCCCGGUUUAAGCGUGUAGGCUGGUUUUCCAGGCAAAUCCGGAAAAUCAAGGCUGAGGCGUGAUGACGAGGCACUACGGUGCUGAAGCAACAAAUGCCCUGCUUCCAGGAAAAGCCUCUAAGCAUCAGGUAACAUCAAAUCGUACCCCAAACCGACACAGGUGGUCAGGUAGAGAAUACCAAGGCGCUUGAGAGAACUCGGGUGAAGGAACUAGGCAAAAUGGUGCCGUAACUUCGGGAGAAGGCACGCUGAUAUGUAGGUGAAGUCCCUCGCGGAUGGAGCUGAAAUCAGUCGAAGAUACCAGCUGGCUGCAACUGUUUAUUAAAAACACAGCACUGUGCAAACACGAAAGUGGACGUAUACGGUGUGACGCCUGCCCGGUGCCGGAAGGUUAAUUGAUGGGGUUAGCGCAAGCGAAGCUCUUGAUCGAAGCCCCGGUAAAC
rnacentral:rRNA from 1 species